GCUCCCACAGAACAAAUACUUAAUCACAUUGUCAUGUGUUGAUUUUUCUUACAAUUCUAUCUUCUGGCCAGAAGAAGGACUCAGUUAACAAAGGACUCAAUCUCCAAGAGAACAGGGAAGGAAGCAAACAGGAAAUGAAGAGGUGAGGAAGACUGCCUGAAAACAGACCUGUGGAAGAAAAGAGAAUAAAAAUAACAAGGAGAGAGAAUGUAUGAGAAACAGAUGCAGAAAGCGAAUAUUGAUCGUGGACUAUGUGGUCCAAAAGCCUUGCAUCAGGCUUCAAAAGAGGGGAGACAGAAAAUGAAUGAGAAGCCAGUUAGAGAGAACAGCUCUGAGAGUCCUUGCAAGAAAUGAGAUCAAGGAAAGUAAAAAAGAUGCGAUGAGGAACACUACCAAGAAAAAUCAGCUAUUCUUUCAAUAUUCAAAGAUUCUGAAGUGCACAAGUGGUAUCUGCCAUUGAAAGGCGUAUGAAGGUGACAAGUGACAACAUGCAAGGCAACAGCCUCAAGUUGCACCAGUGGAUGUUUUGACAGGAUAUUGGGAAGAAUUUCUUCAGAGAAAGGGAGGUCAAGCAUUGGAACAGGUUACCAAGGUAGGUGGUGGAACCUCCAUCCCUUGAGAUGUUCAAGAGACAUGUGGACAUGGCUUUUAGGGACAUGAUUUAGAGGUGGACUUGCAGUGUUAGGUGGAUGGUUGAACUCGAUAAUUUUAAGGACCUUUUCCAAAAUAAAUGAUCCUGUGAUUCUUUGAAAUUGAUUAAUCCAGUACUUAACAAGACAGAAAACUAUCCAG